GGAUGUGAGGGUGAUCUGGCUGCAACAUCUGUCACUCCAUUGAUCGCCAGGGUUGAUUCGGCUGAUCUGGUUGGCUAGGCGGGUGUCCCCUUCCUCCCUCACUGCUCCAUGUGCAUCCUUCCCAAAGCUGUGAAGCUGUGUGUUCCGCUCAGCUAAAGAUGACAAACUUCCCCGUUAGAGGAGGACUGUUCUUCGAUCAAGGGUAUACACUCGUAUAGUUGCGUUCCCCUGCUAGAACCUCCAAACAAGCUCUCAAGAAAUAAUUUUCAGAAGUCUGACUGUCCUGGCAAUUUUCAGUGUCCUUUUCUUUGCUCUGCCAUAUUUUACUUUUCAAG
rnacentral:snRNA from 1 species